rnacentral:rRNA from 1 species
UACGUAGGUGACAAGCGUUGUCCGGAUUUACUGGGCGUAAAGAGCGCGCAGGCGGUCGUUCAAGUCGAGUGUGAAAGCCCCCGGCUCAACUGGGGAGGGUCAUUCGAUACUGAUCGACUCGAAGGCAGGAGAGGGUAGUGGAAUUCCCGGUGUAGUGGUGAAAUGCGUAGAUAUCGGGAGGAACACCAGUGGCGAAGGCGACUACCUGGCCUGUUCUUGACGCUGAGGCGCGAAAGCUAGGGAGCAAACGGG